CCAGCAACAGCAACCAUCAGAAUUAGCUCAUUGUUAAGAAUAUAGCUAGUUGCUACAGACAUAGUCAGUCGGUUAAACGCAGCCUUGGAGAGGGUGCUUCCUCCCAGGGCUGCAGGCUGCACCCCUUGAAUGCAGUUUUCUUUCUUUCCUACAAAUCGUUGUCCUAUUUCGUGCACCGAUAUUGCAGUGCAUUUUGUAACUUACAGUGAAACAAGAGCGUUCUCUCCUACCGCUGUGCAACCCAGACGUUGCAGUCCCUGUACUGCUACCGAAGAUAAUCAUGAUGCUAGCUUCCGCUUCUAAGUGAAACCAGCAGUUGCCAUGGAGGAUUCCCUGAGGGCUGUUUGCAGGUUCCCUCCGCUUGCCGGGCUGAAGGGGAACAGCGCAAAAUCAACAUUCCUUUCUAAUGAUGUUGGAUGAACAGUCCCGCACCUAAACCAACAAAUGAGAAAAAGAUCCUCCUGUAUAUUUUAAUUUUCUGUAUCGUGUAUUCUGUUCAGUUUUUUUUUUUUUUUUUUUCCUCUCUUUAAGUGUGUGGUUAUAGAUGAGAUCAUGACACACAUGGGCUAUUUCGUCCUUCUUUGUUUAUGUAAUUAAUAACGUGUAGGUAUACUUGGGACUCUAAGCCUUGAUGAUGCAUAGUUUUUUCCUCUGGAGCAACAUCAAAUGACACAAAACAACUCAAGACAGACCUGACAGGCUUGAGCGAUGUCAGGGACCCUACGAGGUGUCUGUUUGCAGACUCUUCAGGGUGUCCCUCUUUGGCCGGGAUCAACUUGCAGCAGCAUGUCUUCCACUUGUCCACAGUACGCAUCGAAACGGCUGUAACCUUCUCUCUACAUGUACACACUCUUGACAGUAUUUUACUGAGGCUGAGAGUCCCCACUUUCCAUUUAGUUACU